ACGUAGGGUGCAAGCGUUAAUCGGAAUUACUGGGCGUAAAGCGUGCGCGGGCGGCUAUGCAAGACAGAUGUGAAAUCCCUGGGCUUAACUUGGGAACUGCGCUCGAAACUACGGUGCUGGAGUGUGGCAGAGGAAGGUGGAAUUCCACGUGUAGCAGUGAAAUGCGUAGAGAUGUGGAGGAACGCCGAUGGCGAAGGCAGCCCCCUGGGCUGAGAUUGACGCUCAGGCACGAAAGCGUGGGGAGCAAACAGGA
rnacentral:rRNA from 1 species